rnacentral:rRNA from 1 species
ACGGAAGGCAGCAGUGGAGAAUCUUGCACAAUGGGCGAAAGCCUGAUGCAGCAACGCCGCGUGAAGGAUGAAGGCCCUUGGGUCGUAAACUUCUGUUCUAAGGGAAGAUAAUGACGGUACCUUAGGAGCAAGUCCCGGCUAACUACGUGCCAGCAGCCGCGGUAAUACGUAGGGGGCGAGCGUUAUCCGGAAUUAUGGGGCGUAAAGAGUACGUAGGUGGUUUCCUAAGCAUGGGGUUUAAGGCAAUGGCUUAACUAUUGUUCGCCCCAUGAACUGGGUUACUUGAGUGCUGGAGGGGAAAGCGGAAUUCCUAGUGUAGCGGUGAAAUGCGUAGAUAUUAGGAGGAACACCAGUGGCGAAGGCGGCUUUCUGGACUGUUACUGACACUGAGGCACGAAAGUGUGGGGAGCAAACAGGAUUAGAUACCCUGGUA